UCCGGGACUUAGUGCCGACGCUAACGCAUUAAGCACUCCGCCUGGGGAGUACGACCGCAAGGUUGAAACUCAAAGGAAUUGACGGGGGCCCGCACAAGCGGUGGAGCAUGUGGUUUAAUUCGAAGCAACGCGAAGAACCUUACCAGGUCUUGACAUCCCGAUGCCCGCUCUAGAGAUAGAGUUUUACUUUUUGUACAUCGGAGACAGGUGGUGCAUGGUUGUCGUCAGCUCGUGUCGUGAGAUGUUGGGUUANNNNNNNNNNNCGAGCGCAACCCUUAUUGUUAGUUGCCAUCAUUAAGUUGGGCACUCUAGCGAGACUGCCGGUAAUAAACCGGAGGAAGGUGGGGAUGACGUCAAAUCAUCAUGCCCCUUAUGACCUGGGCUACACACGUGCUACAAUGGUUGGUACAACGAGUCGCAAGCCGGUGACGGCAAGCUAAUCUCUGAAAGCCAAUCUCAGUUCGGAUUGUAGGCUGCAACUCGCCUACAUGAAGUCGGAAUCGCUAGUAAUCGCGGAUCAGCACGCCGCGGUGAAUACGUUCCCGGGCCUUG
rnacentral:rRNA from 1 species